CCCCUCCUGGAGAGGGUCAUGUUGGGAGGUAUGCUGUAAGAGCUGUGCUGCACUGGAAUCCAGAACCUCUCACCGCACAAGCGGCUUACGGGGCAACACUGCGGAUCGUCGGGACAACAACACAGGCAGAAGGCACAGACCGGUGGUCAGCUUGGAGAAUGAUGCAGUGUGUCGUGACGUCACAACACAAUCUCGUCUUUCCGCAAAACUCUGCCCCCCGAGCUGAGUACUCAGGAGGAGGGGAAGCCAAGCCGGCCGGCGCCGCAAAGAGGAGGGAGAGGCGGUGAAGAGCGGGAAGAACCGCUUCAACCAUUCACCAAGAAGUAGCGGAGAGUGUUUACUUCAUUCUUCAGAUGUUGCCAGGAUGGAACUCGGUGGCUGAGAUGAUACUCCAGACAGCCUGGGUCAUCUUGCUGGAGGUGCAGAAGGACCUACAAAAAACAGCUAAAGAAAAAUACUGAAUACAACAAAAAAUAUUAUUGAUUCAAGAAAUACAACAUUUUCAACAUACAGUAAUUACCAGAUUCUUCCUCAUCAGCAGCAUCAUGCUGUGGGACUAAUUCAGAUUUGUACGUAAACCUUAUAGUUUACAAACAACUCCGAUUGUGUAGGGUUUGUGCAGGCACAAGUCCUGUUCUGAGCAUGUGCACAAUGGGUCUUGCGACAUCACUUGUAGCCCCAGGAUAUCCUCAUUUUGUAGGUGUGAUGGACCCAGGUUCUGCGGCAUUGGACGCAGUCUUACUGGUCCCUUAUGUCUAGAUCCAAUGGCCAGCCUGAGUAUGCUUUAACUUACCUAAAACAUUGUGAAUUGUGACCUAUGGUCACUAUGGUGAUCCAAGGCUGCAUCCUCAGAUGAAGAACUUGAUAUUGCAAAUGUAUGUAGGAGGCAUCUAUUUAUUACACCGCCUCAUGCUGCCUUUGCAUUUUAAUUACACAGCAUUGCAUAGCCGCUUCCUUGCAGCUAUGAGUACCUUAAAAACAGGAAUUAUGCCCUGUGUAC